rnacentral:rRNA from 1 species
UACGGGGGGGGCAAGCGUUGUUCGGAAUUACUGGGCGUAAAGGGCUCGUAGGCGGCCAACUAAGUCAGACGUGAAAUCCCUCGGCUUAACCGGAGAACUGCGUCUGAUACUGGAUGGCUUGAAUCCGGGAGAGGGAUGCGGAAUUCCAGGUGUAGCGGUGAAAUGCGUAGAUAUCUGGAGGAACACCGGUGGCGAAGGCGGCAUCCUGGACCGGCAUUGACGCUGAGGAGCGAAAGCCAGGGGAGCAAACGGG